AAUUAGAUGGCAGAAUAGUGCUAUAGGUUUAAGCCCUAUCUAUGAGACUUGAUCUCUCUAGUUA
rnacentral:tRNA from 1 species